rnacentral:tRNA from 1 species
UACUCCGUGGUGUAAUUGGUAGCACGGCAGUUUCUGGCACUGUCAGUUGGGGUUCGAGUCCCUACGGGGUAACUA